rnacentral:rRNA from 1 species
UCGUUGCCACCGACAGUCGAACUACCGAGGCCCGGGGAGGGUGGCGCCCUCGGGUGCCUCACGAACCGGUCCGAAGUAGUCCGACAGGAGGAAGCAA